rnacentral:tRNA from 1 species
UCCCGCGUGGUCUAGCGGUUAGGAUGGCUGGCUCUCACCCAGGCGGCCCGGGUUCGACUCCCGCGCCGGGA